CUACGGAGGGGGCUAGCGUUGUUCGGAAUUACUGGGCGUAAAGCGCGCGUAGGCGGAUCGUUAAGUCAGGGGUGAAAGCCCGGAGCUCAACUCCGGAACUGCCCUUGAUACUGGCGAUCUCGAGUCCGGGAGAGGUGAGCGGAAUUCCUAGUGUAGAGGUGAAAUUCGUAGAUAUUAAGAGGAACACCAGUGGCGAAGGCGGCUCACUGGCCGGUACUGACGCUGAGGUGCGAAAGCGUGGGGAGCAAACAGGAUUAGAUACCCUAGUAGUCC
rnacentral:rRNA from 1 species